rnacentral:lncRNA from 1 species
CCAGAAUAUUUAAGACUCGAAGAAGGCAAAGAUCAUUCUAACAAUACCCCAAGAAUCAAGCUCAAAAUGUCACAAACUGAAGAAUUCAAUCAUCUGCCACACACCGCCCAAACUAUUCUCUACUGUAUGAAGAAAACUAGAUUGUUCAAUACUUUCAUCAGUCCUACUAGUGGUCCCAUAAUUCAAAUAGAUCUCAACUUUCAAGUGAUAGAGACUUGUAUACACCAACUUCAACAAGUUGUCCCUGGGUUCUUGCGUGGAAAUUAAUAUUGAAUUUGCUUGUAAGUCAGUAACAAAUACUUAACAAACAAGCUAACCCCUGUCAUAGACACAUAAUCUGAAAACAGAAUGAACAAAUCAAAAUGGGCCAUAAGCAGAAAAUUUUUCUACCAAAAGAAUAAAUAGAUGCAAAGUUUGUUGAAAUUGCAGAUAAUUGGGGCUCGAAUUUGCUAAAAAUGGAAAUUUUUUCACCAAUAAAAAAGCCAUAUAUGCUCACUAUUUCUAAUGCUGCUCGGAAAACUUGUUGAAGCGAAAUGCUCGAAAAAACAGGGGAUAGUAUGGAAAAGUGAGAAUAUUUUUAACACUUAUCAUCAAACAAACAAUAGUCAAAAUUUUGCCCCUUUCUUUUUCAUCCAUUUUCUUAGCAACCAAACAAAAUUUAAACAUAUAUGCAUUCAUAUAAGAAAUGGCUAAAGUUAUAGACCUGUUGAACAAGGCUAUUGAUUUCGUUAGGCGUCAUAAGGUCAGAGAAGUCGAGAUCAACGACGAUGUUCUGGCCGUGUUCUUUGGCAUUGGUAAGUCUCUGGACCUUCUUCUCCCUCUNNN